rnacentral:rRNA from 1 species
UUCGGUGGCGAUAGCAAAGAGGUCCCACCCGUUCCCAUCCCGAACACGGAAGUUAAGCUCUUUCACGUCGACAAUACUUGGCGGGCGACCGCCCGGGAAGAUAGAUAGCUGCCGGAA